AAAGUCGUAACAAGGUUUCCGUAGGUGAACCUGCGGAAGGAUCAUUAUUGAAUAAAUCUGAUCAGUUGUAGCUGGCUCUUCGGAGCAUGUGCACAUUGAUCACCUUUAUCUUUCCACCUGUGAACACACUGUAGUCCUGGAUACCUCUCGCCGCAAGGCGGAUGCGUGGUUUGCUGUGCUAGCUCGCAAGAGUCGGUCGGCUUACUACGAAUUUCCAGGUCUAUGAUUUAUACAAACCCCAAACGUAUGUUAUAGAAUGUCAUCAUUGGGCCUCGUGCCUAUAAACCUAUACAACUUUCAGCAACGGAUCUCUUGGCUCUC
rnacentral:misc_RNA from 1 species